rnacentral:rRNA from 1 species
UGGAAGUAAAAGUCGUAACAAGGUCUCCGUUGGUGAACCAGCGGAGGGAUCAUUACCGAGUUUUCANCUCCCUAACCCUUAUGUGAACCUACCUAUUGUUGCUUCGGCGGACUCGCCCCAGCCGGACGCGGACUGGACCAGCGGCCGCCGGGGACCCUCAAACUCUUGUAUUAUCAGCAUCUUCUGAAUACGCCGCAAGGCAAAACAAAUAAAUCAAAACUUUCAACAACGGAUCUCUUGGCUCUGGCAUCGAUGAAGAACGCAGCGAAAUGCGAUAAGUAAUGUGAAUUGCAGAAUCCAGUGAAUCAUCGAAUCUUUGAACGCACAUUGCGCCCGCCAGCAUUCUGGCGGGCAUGCCUGUUCGAGCGUCAUUUCAACCCUCGACCUCCCUUUGGGGAAGUCGGCGUUGGGGACCGGCAGCACACCGCCGGCCCUGAAAUGGAGUGGCGGCCCGUCCGCGGCGACCUCUGCGUAGUAAUCCAACUCGCACCGGAACCCCGACGCGGCCACGCCGUAAAACACCCAACUUCUGAACGUUGACCUCGAAUCAGGUAGGACUACCCGCUGAACUUAAGCAUAUCAAUAAGCGGAGGAA